UAAUAAGAAGCAAGAUUUGCAUUUAGUUUCGACCUAAAAAUUUGACGAUUUUUCGUCCUUAUUUU
rnacentral:tRNA from 1 species